AUAGAGACUCAGAGCUGCAUAUCAAUAAGCGGAGGAAAAGAAACUAACAAUGGAUUCCCUUAGUAACGGCGAGUGAGGCGGGAAGAGCUCAAAUUUGAAAUCUUCAAGGGUUCUACCUUUACGAAUUGUAGUUUAUAGAAGUGUUUUCUGUUGAGUAGAGUAGCAAAGUUCUUUGGAAUAGGACAUCAUAGAGGGUGAGAAUCCCGUAUUUGAUCAUAAUCUAAUUUCUAGCUUUGUGAUACACUUUCAACGAGUCGGAUUGUUUGGGAAUGCAGUCCAAAAUGGGUGGUAAAUUUCAUCUAAAGCUAAAUAUUGGCGAGAGACCGAUAGCGAACAAGUACCGUGAGGGAAAGAUGAAAAGAACUUUGAAAAGAGAGUUAAACAGUACGUGAAAUUGUCAAAAGGGAAGCGUUUGACACCAGUGUUGUUUUUCCGAAAAUCAAUUGACGAAUGUUUUAUUUUUGAGGAGUUAUGACUUCAUCGGCUUGCUUCUCUCUUUAUGAAACUUUCUUAAUGCACCUUUCGGUUAACAAGUCAACAUCAAUUUCUUUUGUUGUAAAAGGGUAUGAGGAAGGUGGCUUUCUUUUCGGAGAAAGUGUUUAUAGCCUUGUAGCCUCUGCAAUCGGAGAGAUUGAGGUCUGCAGCGUAGAUCCUUCGGGGUUAGAUACAUUUGUGCUAAGUUAUAGCUUUUCAUAGACAACUUGUUGACUAUGAUUAAGUCAUUGUAGCUUACUCGCUUAUGCUAUUUUACCUACGCUUAGGAUGUUGAUAGUCACAGCGUGUAC
rnacentral:rRNA from 1 species